rnacentral:rRNA from 1 species
CCUACGGGCGGCUGCAGUGGGGAAUUUUGGACAAUGGGGGCAACCCUGAUCCAGCCAUGCCGCGUGAGUGAAGAAGGCCUUCGGGUUGUAAAGCUCUUUCGGCCGGGAAGAAAUCGCUCAAGCUAAUACCUUGGGUGGAUGACGGUACCGGAAGAAGAAGCACCGGCUAACUACGUGCCAGCAGCCGCGGUAAUACAGAGGGUGCAAGCGUUAAUCGGAAUCAGUGGACGUAAAGCGUCCGUAGGUGGUCGAAAUCCCCGGGCUUAACCUGGGAACUGCAUUCGAUACUACAUGGCUAGAGUAUGGUAGAGGGAAGUGGAAUUUCCGGUGUAGCGGUGAAAUGCGUAGAUAUCGGAAGGAACACCAAUGGCGAAGGCAGCUUCCUGGACUAAUACUGACACUGAGGCACGAAAGCGUGGGUAGCAAACAGGAUUAGAUACCCGUGUAGUC